GGCGGGCGGGAGCGAGGGGAGGAGGCGGCGGCCGCCGCGCGUUCCCGCCCGCGCGGCCCGGCAGUGCCCUGGCCCGCGCUCGGUGACCGGCACCCGGCCCUCGCGCGCCCCGGGGAAGAGCUCCCCCCUCACCCGUAACUUCCCGCAGACUAAGGGGGCGCUCGGGACACGCGUUCCCCCAGCGGCCGGAAGGCCCAGGGCAUCUCAGCCUUACUCGUCCCCGCGUGAGAGCUCGGCUCGUCUGAGUAUUGGGCGAAGAAACUACAAGGAAAGACGGGUCGGCCGCUCUGAGAACCAGGCCUGACAGUGUCCCAGGUCAAGGUGGCCCCCACAGAGUGUCUGAUGCGAGGGAAGAGCAAGCCCUCAGCAGACCUUCGCCCCUGCUCUGUGCAGCCCCAGGCAGAGUUUCUUCAGUACCCUCUGCCAGAAAUGGCAGUGAUGAUGCUGUCUCCACGCAAGAGCCGCAAGGCCAGUCAAAGCUGAAGCGGGCCAAGUCCCUUGCCCAAUCUGGCACCGAGUUUGCACUGAACAAAUGGUAACCACUGCUGCUGGGCACCAGGAGCCUCCAG
ensembl:lncRNA